UGACAUCUCCGGCAUUUGCAGGAGGUUCACUCUUUCCAGUUCAUCCAAGGUUGAUCUUGCGUCUCCGUCAGGUGCUACACAGAGUAAUAGAAGAGCUAAACUCUACUGCUUCCUGAACACAUUCCUGCCACAGGACCUUUGCAAUGACUGCUGCCGACCUGAAACGGUCUUUGUUCCGACAUGUGCCUGGCUCUCUUCCUCACCUCCUUCACGUGUUUGCUAGAACGCUACCUCCUAUGUGAGUCCCUCCCUGACCCUGCUGCUUAAAAAUUGCAACAAAGCUGCCCACAACCUUAA